rnacentral:lncRNA from 1 species
GAAACAGCCAGAAGGAAGUACAUGAACAAGAAUGUAGAAUUUCAGCUCAUGAGAACUGGAAACUGAAAUGGCUCCAGGAUCUGGGUCAAGAGGAAAACUUGGUGAACUUCUGCACAGAAGAGGUGCUUCCCUAGUGCUUCACAGGGCUUUUCAGAGAGUGCAAGAGAACCCAGCACAUGCAGGGGCUCUGAGGAACAGAGUGAGUUUAGGUACAGGAAGAAAAAAAUCCGUCUGUGGAAUUUCCCUGUACAAGAUGCCAAAUGCUCAGUUGGGAAGGAGGCUUCUUCCCCCAGUCAGAAUUGUCUCCUCUGUACCUCAAGAACUUCCUGUAGGAAAUUUUUAGACUGCUGGUGGCAGCCCCAUGGAAUGAGUCAGCUCCUUGCUGCUUUCAGUCUGGUGAAUGAGAGGAUUCUGGAGGCAUAAUUUCCUUAUUACUGAAGCCCGGGUUUGACAAAAUUGUAGAAUUCACUGCUUUCUCAUAGAUAUAUGUGUCUAAUUGACAGAAAGAAAACACCAAAGCCUCGUGUGAAUCAGAAUUCCAGAAUCAUUAAGGAUGGAGAACAAACUCCAGGAUCAUCGAGUCCAACCCAUAAAUGACCCUGCCCAGAGCACUGAGUGCCAUAUCCAUUCA